rnacentral:rRNA from 1 species
UACGGAGGGUGCAAGCGUUAUCCGGAUUCACUGGGUUUAAAGGGUGCGUAGGCGGGCAGGUAAGUCCGUGGUGAAAUCUCUGAGCUUAACUCAGAAACUGCCAUGGAUACUAUUUGUCUUGAAUGUUGUGGAGGUAAGCGGAAUAUGUCAUGUAGCGGUGAAAUGCUUAGAUAUGACAUAGAACACCAAUUGCGAAGGCACUCUACUGGGCUAUUACUGACACUCAGAGACGAAAGCUAGGGGAGCAAAUGGG